CUCGACGACGCCACGUGGACGUGGGGGCAUUAGUCGUUCGCCGAGGUAACGGUGCGAGCGACGCUCCCAUGCACUCGUUUUCGGUGUGAACCGCUGCGGUGUCAAAUCGUCUGUAGACGACUUAGGUACCUGUCGUGGUGUCGUAAUUAGUAGAGCAGCCACCACACUGCGAUCUAUUGAGGCUUAGCCAUUGACCGGGAGGUUUGU
rnacentral:ncRNA from 1 species